rnacentral:hammerhead_ribozyme from 1 species
AUCCAGCUGACGAGUCCUAAAUAGGACAAGAAGCGUAUCCUGGAU